GAUCCUGGCUCAGGAUGAACGCUAGCUACAGGCUUAACACAUGCAAGUCGAGGGGCAGCAUGGACCCAGCUUUGCUGGGUUUGAUGGCGACCGGCGCACGGGUGAGUAACGCGUAUCCAACCUGCCCUUUACUCCGGGAUAGUCUCCUGAAAGGGAGUUUAAUACCGGAUGUGUUUGUCUUUCCGCAUGGGAGCGACAAAUAAGAUUAAUUGGUAAAGGAUGGGGAUGCGUCCCAUUAGCUUGUUGGACCGGGGG
rnacentral:rRNA from 1 species